UGCCCGAUCGUAACACAGCAGCAACACAACAUUAGCUGCCCGCCAAAUAACUACGAGUGAAAACUUAAAAUUUAAAAGACUUGACGGUACUUCACACCCAACCUAGAGGAGCCUGUCUACUAACCGAUAAUCCACGAUUAACCCAACCAUUUCUAGCCAUCCAGCCUAUAUACCGCCGUCGCCAGCCUACCUUGUGAAAGAAAUAAAGUAAGCCAAAUAGUAAUACACUAACACGACAGGUCGAGGUGUAACUAAUGAAAUGGACUAAGAUGGGCUACAUUAUCUAACCCAGAUAAUACAAAUAAAGUUAUGAAACAACUCUUGAAGGCGGAUUUAGCAGUAAGUCGAGAACAUAAUACUCAACUGAAAUCAAUGCAAUGAAGUGCGU
rnacentral:rRNA from 1 species